CCUACGGGUGGCAGCAGUGAGGAAUAUUGGUCAAUGGACGAGAGUCUGAACCAGCCAAGUAGCGUGAAGGAUGACUGCCCUAUGGGUUGUAAACUUCUUUUAUAUGGGAAUAAAAUGUUCCACGUGUGGGAUUUUGUAUGUACCAUAUGAAUAAGGAUCGGCUAACUCCGUGCCAGCAGCCGCGGUAAUACGGAGGAUCCGAGCGUUAUCCGGAUUUAUUGGGUUUAAAGGGAGCGUAGGUGGAUUGUUAAGUCAGUUGUGAAAGUUUGCGGCUCAACCGUAAAAUUGCAGUUGAAACUGGCAGUCUUGAGUACAGUAGAGGUGGGCGGAAUUCGUGGAGUAGCGGUGAAAUGCUUAGAUAUCACGAAGAACUCCGAUUGCGAAGGCAGUUCACUGGACUGCAACUGACACUGAGGCUCGAAAGUGUGGGUAUCAAACAGGAUUAGAUACCCGUGUAGUC
rnacentral:rRNA from 1 species